GUCGCUAGUAAAUAUUAUACACCUAUAUACAUUGAAAGGACGUAUUUAACACAUUGUCAAAUCAAUUUACAAAAGAUAUAGCUAUUUUUGGUACCUUUAUUCCCACGACCUACAUUCAAGAUGGAGGAACAAGCUUUGUAUGUAAUAUUUUUCUGUGUUUUAUUUAUGCCCGUUGGAAGUGAGAAUGGGUGGAUUUAUACAAGAUUAAAAAGACAAGUCCGAGAUGACGUAUCAAAUGAAAGAUCAACUACAGUACAACCAGUCAUUAAAAACUCGGGUGAAAUAUCAACAAAUCUAUCAUCUAAUGGCACAAUAUCAGAAGUGGUAGAUAGUGGUUUAAAUACAGGUGUUAUAAAUGGAUCUGUUAUAGCAGCGUUAGUUAUGUUAUUGGUCAUUGUAGCAAUUGUUCUAAGAUGUAGCAAACAUAAAAGAAAGAAGAGACGCGUGAAAAAAACAAGUGAACCGGCGGAGAAAGAAUCAUUGAAUAGUGUUGAAUAAAAUAAACAGAAACUAUUUGAAUACGUUUCGUGUCAAUUGAAGAGGGAUUUCUUUCAAAUGGUUCAAAAGCCCAUCAAGAUUUGAUUUAAAGAGAACUCCCUGAAGCCGAAACUGAUUAAUUAUCUUCGUUGAGAUUAACCCAGAGAAAACAAAAUCAUUGGUAAAACAAAAUAAUACAUCAUUUAAAGGAUGAACCUUUGAACAUUAAGUGAAACAGUUUACACCCAAUAAGGUAAUACUAAGACCGCCAUGGACAACCGACACUGUCAUACCUUCACGCAUCUUCGUGUGUCUACGCAUAGGAAAAGAUAAAGGUUUAUGUGAACACUGAUAUAAUCUACCACCUAUAAAGACCAAGAAGAAAAAAAAAGAUCAUUUGAAUCCUGUAUUAAAUGACCUUCAUUGUUCCGGAUGAAAAUAAAAUGAUAAAUUUUCAAAUACUGGCUAUUCAUAACAUCGCACCUGUUUACCUACUAUAGAACUCUUCGCUCAGGUAAUAAAAACUUGGGACGAAAACAAAUUUAAAAACAUUUGGAUCAGAAGCCCUCGUUUUUGGGAGGACAAAAUGUUACAUGCGUCAAUUUUCUAAAUUUUGUCGGUAAGACGCUGGCUCGCUAGCCUGGAGGUCGGGUGCUCGAUCCCUGCAUUGGCCGAGAAAGUUCAUCCAGAUUUUCCGGCGUGAUUUCCCCUUGUCAGUGAUGCAGGACAGAGGGCCUGACAAGGACAACUGUCUCUAGUCGUUCGGAUGGAACGAAAAACCGAGGUCCCGUGUACAUAUUGGCGUGCACGUAAAAGAUCCCUUGGCAGUUGGAAUUCGAUAUAAGAGUAGGCCGUAGCGCCGCUGCCCUGGCAAAAUUUCCCUCAUAGGACACUGUAUGGCGUAUGCCCGUCUUCAUUAGCCCAGUUUAUUUCACUUCAUUUCAUUUCAUUUCAUUUGAAAUUACCACUUGUAUUUUAUCCCCGCUUCCACCUAAGGUAAUAUCUCAGUUAUUUUCAAAAAAGAAAUUAAUAUCCCAAAAAUCGUUUUGUGUGUUAAAUUCUAAACAUGUGUCAAAUCAGUAUCAAAACUGGGGCUGUCAUCUCCACUAUUUGUUAAGGCCAGCUCACUUUUUGUCAAGGUCGCUCAGAUGUAAAUAAGGUUAGGGCGGCGCGUGAUU